rnacentral:rRNA from 1 species
AGCAGCCGCGGUAAUUCCAGCUCCAAUAGCGUAUAUUAAAGUUGUUGCAGUUAAAAAGCUCGUAGUUGAAUUUCGGGAUCAAUUUAUUGGUCGUGCUAUUGUACGUACUGGUAUUAUUGAUUCCUACCUUCUGACGAACCACGAUGUCAUUAAUUUGGUGCCAUGGGGAAUCAGGACUGUUACUUUGAAAAAAUUAGAGUGUUUAAAGCAGGCUCACGCUUGAAUACAUUAGCAUGGAAUAACGAAAUAGGACGUUUGAUUCUAUUUUGUUGGUUUCUAGGAUCGACGUAAUGAUUAAUAGGGAUAGUUGGGGGCAUUAGUAUUCAAUUGUCAGAGGUGAAAUUCUUGGAUUUAUUGAAGACUAACUACUGCGAAAGCAUUUGCCAAGGAUGUUUUCAUUAAUCAAGAACGAAAGUUAGGGGAUCGAAGACGAUCAGAUACCGUCGUAGUCUUAACCAUAAACUAUGCCGACUAGGGAUCGGAUGAUGUUAAUUUUUAAUGACUCAUUCGGCGCCUUAAC